CAUACGUUGACUACUGAGUGGCGGGGCGCCACAAAAUCAAAAUUGGCCGCCACAGAUUAAUAUUCUAUGUUUAAUUUAAAUUAAAUAUAAGAUCAAUUCCAUGCAUUUCCAGCUGAUUUUGAGCUGCGCUUUUUACGCACGCAGCCUUUCCUUACCCCGCCCCGCUGUCUCUC